GAUGAACGCUGGCGGCGUGCCUAAUACAUGCAAGUCGAGCGAACGGACGAGAAGCUUGCUUCUCUGAUGUUAGCGGCGGACGGGUGAGUAACACGUGGAUAACCUACCUAUAAGACUGGGAUAACUUCGGGAAACCGGAGCUAAUACCGGAUAAUAUUUUGAACCGCAUGGUUCAAAAGUGAAAGACGGUCUUGCUGUCACUUAUAGAUGGAUCCGCGCUGCAUUAGCUAGUUGGUAAGGUAACGGCUUACCAAGGCAACGAUGCAUAGCCGACCUGAGAGGGUGAUCGGCCACACUGGAACUGAGACACGGUCCAGACUCCUACGGGAGGCAGCAGUAGGGAAUCUUCCGCAAUGGGCGAAAGCCUGACGGAGCAACGCCGCGUGAGUGAUGAAGGUCUUCGGAUCGUAAAACUCUGUUAUUAGGGAAGAACAUAUGUGUAAGUAACUGUGCACAUCUUGACGGUACCUAAUCAGAAAGCCACNGCUAACUACCUGCCAGCAGCCGCGGUAAUACGUAGGUGGCAAGCCUUAUUCCGAAAUUUUGGGCGUAAAGCGCGCGUAGCGGUUUUUUAGUCUGAUGUGAAAGCCCACGGCUCAACCGUGGAGGGUCAUUGGAAACUGGAAAACUUGAGUGCAGAAGAGGAAAGUGGAAUUCCAUGUGUAGCGGUGAAAUGCGCAGAGAUAUGGAGGAACACCAGUGGCGAAGGCGACUUUCUGGUCUGUAACUGACGCUGAUGUGCGAAAGCGUGGGGAUCAAACAGGAUUAGAUACCCUGGUAGUCCACGCCGUAAACGAUGAGUGCUAAGUGUUAGGGGGUUUCCGCCCCUUAGUGCUGCAGCUAACGCAUUAAGCACUCCGCCUGGGGAGUACGACCGCAAGGUUGAAACUCAAAGGAAUUGACGGGGACCCGCACAAGCGGUGGAGCAUGUGGUUUAAUUCGAAGCAACGCGAAGAACCUUACCAAAUCUUGACAUCCUUUGACAACUCUAGAGAUAGAGCUUUCCCCUUCGGGGGACAAAGUGACAGGUGGUGCAUGGUUGCCGUCAGCUCGUGUCGUGAGAUGUUGGGUUAAGUCCCGCAACGAGCGCAACCCUUAAGCUUAGUUGCCAUCAUUAAGUUGGGCACUCUAAGUUGACUGCCGGUGACAAACCGGAGGAAGGUGGGGAUGACGUCAAAUCAUCAUGCCCCUUAUGAUUUGGGCUACACACGUGCUACAAUGGACAAUACAAAGGGCAGCGAAACCGCGAGGUCAAGCAAAUCCCAUAAAGUUGUUCUCAGUUCGGAUUGUAGUCUGCAACUCGACUACAUGAAGCUGGAAUCGCUAGUAAUCGUAGAUCAGCAUGCUACGGUGAAUACGUUCCCGGGUCU
rnacentral:rRNA from 1 species